UACGUAGGUGGCAAGCGUUUGUCCGGAAUUAUUGGGCGUAAAGCGCGCGCAGGCGGCCUCUUAAGUCUGAUGUGAAAUCUUGCGGCUCAACCGCAAGCGGCCAUUGGAAACUGCCGGGCUUGAGUAUGGGGAGAGGUGAGUGGAAUUUCCGGUGUAGCGGUGAAAUGCGUAGAUAUCGGAAGGAACACCUGUGGCGAAGGCGGGUCUCUGGGCCGUAACUGACGCUGAGGAGCGAAAGCAUGGGGAGCGAACAGG
rnacentral:rRNA from 1 species